AGUGCCUACGGGGGGCAGCAGGCGCGAAACUUCCGCAAUGCGCGAAAGCGUGACGGGGGUAAUCCGAGUGCCAUCCGAAAGGGUGGCUUUUAACCGGCUUGAAUAGCCGGUGGAAUAAGUUCUGGGUAAAUCCUGUGCCAGCCGCCGCGGUAACACAGGUAGAACAAGUGGUAUCCACGAAUAUUAAGCUUAAAGCGUCCGAAGACGGCUCGGAAAGUCUUCUGUGAAAUCUAUCGGCCUAUCCGAUAGGCUUGCAGGGGAUACUACCGAGCUUGAGAGUGGGGGAGGGCAAGGGUACUUUAGGGGGAGGAGUAAAAUCCUGUAAUCCUUAAAGGACCAUCGGUGGCGAAAGCGCUUGACCAAAACACGUCUGACGGUGAGGGACGAAGGCCAGGGGAGCGAAUCGGAUUAGAUACCCGUGUAGUC
rnacentral:rRNA from 1 species